UGACUUCAUUAUAUGAUCGCGGGGCGCGUGAGCGUCAUGAGGAAAGUCCGAGCAUCACAGAGCGGGAUAGCUGAUAACGUCAGCCGAGGGCGACCUUAGGGCAAGUGCAACAGAGAUAUACCGCCGGCUUAUCACCGGUAAGGAUGGAAAGGCGAGGUAAGAGCUCACCGGAGUACGCGAGAGCGUACUGCCAUGUAAACCCUAUUCGAUGCAACGCCGAUUGGUGCGGGGGGUAACGCGUCUGCUCGGCGCGCCCCGUUGAAAGGCGGCUUGACCCCACCGGCGACGGCGGGGCUAGAUAGAUGAUCAUACACGACAGAACUCGGCUUAUCGAUGGAGUCACUUU
rnacentral:RNase_P_RNA from 1 species